GACGAACGCUGGCGGCGUGCCUAAUACAUGCAAGUAGAACGCUGAAGAGAGGAGCUUGCUCUUCUUGGCUGAGUUGCGAACGGGUGAGUAACGCGUAGGUAACCUGCCUUGUAGCGGGGGAUAACUAUUGGAAACGAUAGCUAAUACCGCAUAACAAUGGAUGACACAUGUCAUUUAUUUGAAAGGGGCAAUUGCUCCACUACAAGAUGGACCUGCGUUGUAUUAGCUAGUAGGUGAGGUAACGGCUCACCUAGGCGACGAUACAUAGCCGACCUGAGAGGGUGAUCGGCCACACUGGGACUGAGACACGGCCCAGACUCCUACGGGAGGCAGCAGUAGGGAAGCUUCGGCAAUGGGGGCAACCCUGACCGAGCAACGCCGCGUGAGUGAAGAAGGUUUUCGGAUCGUAAAGCUCUGUUGUAAGUCAAGAACGAGUGUGAGAGUGGAAAGUUCACACUGUGACGGUAGCUUACCAGAAAGGGACGGCUAACUACGUG
rnacentral:rRNA from 1 species